rnacentral:lncRNA from 1 species
UGGCAUUGUAAUCAUGAUCCUAUACUUGUGAUGUAUGAAAUGUGGUGAAAGUGAAUUGUGAUAUGUAGGCUAAAUGAGGUAAAUACAAAGAAAGUGUGAAAGAGUGAAUUAGCAAUAAUACUGUUUUGAACGGUUGCAGUGACGUGAGUUUGAAAAUCACCAAAAAUAUUAGGAAUUUAAUUAGAGGCUGAAUGAGAUAUGCGUUUAAAGUUUAAUGAGUCUAUUUUCAUGUAAAAAAAAC